rnacentral:rRNA from 1 species
UACGUAGGGUGCGAGCGUUGUCCGGAAUUACUGGGCGUAAAGAGCUCGUAGGUGGUUUGUCGCGUUGUUCGUGAAAACUCACAGCUUAACUGUGGGCGUGCGGGCGAUACGGGCAGACUGGAGUACUGCAGGGGAGACUGGAAUUCCUGGUGUAGCGGUGGAAUGCGCAGAUAUCAGGAGGAACACCAGUGGCGAAGGCGGCUCUGG